ACGAACGCUGGCGGCGUGCUUAACCCAUGCCAGUCGAACGGAAAGGCCCUGCUUUUGUGGGGUGCUCGAGUGGCGAACGGGUGAGUAACACGUGAGUAACCUGCCCUUGACUUUGGGAUAACUUCAGGAAACUGGGGCUAAUACCGGAUAGGAGCUCCUGCUGCAUGGUGGGGGUUGGAACGUUUCGGCGGUUGGGGAUGGACUCGCGGCUUAUCAGCUUGUUGGUGGGGUAGUGGCUUACCAAGGCUUUGACGGGUAGCCGGCCUGAGAGGGUGACCGGCCACAUUGGGACUGAGAUACGGCCCAGACGCCUACGGGAGGCAGCAGUGGGGAAUAUUGCACAAUGGGCGGAAGCCUGAUGCAGCAACGCCGCGUGCGGGAUGACGGCCUUCGGGUUGUAAACCGCUUUCGCCUGUGACGAAGCGUGAGUGACGGUAAUGGGUAAAGAAGCACCGGCUAACUACGUG
rnacentral:rRNA from 1 species